GAUGAACGCUGGCGGCGUGCCUAAUACAUGCAAGUCGAGCGAAUGGAUUAAGAGCUUGCUCUUAUGAAGUUAGCGGCGGACGGGUGAGUAACACGUGGGUAACCUGCCCAUAAGACUGGGAUAACUCCGGGAAACCGGGGCUAAUACCGGAUAACAUUUUGAACCGCAUGGUUCGAAAUUGAAAGGCGGCUUCGGCUGUCACUUACGGAUGGACCCGCGUCGCAUUAGCUAGUUGGGGAGGUAACGGCUCACCAAGGCAACGAUGCGUAGCCGACAUGAGAGGGUGAUCGGCCACACUGGGACUGAGACACGGCCCAGACUCCUACGGGAGGCAGCAGUAGGGAAUCUUCCGCAAUGGACGAAAGUCUGACGGAGCAACGCCGCGUGAGUGAUGAAGGCUUUCGGGUCGUAAAACUCUGUUGUUAGGGAAGAACAAGUGCUAGUUGAAUAAGCUGGCACCUUGACAGUACCUAACCAGAAAGCCACGACUAACUACGUGCCAGCCGCCGCGGUAA
rnacentral:rRNA from 1 species